rnacentral:rRNA from 1 species
AAAUUGAAGAGUUUGAUCAUGGCUCAGAUUGAACGCUGGCGGCAGGCCUAACACAUGCAAGUCGAGCGGUAGCACAGAGAGCUUGCUCUCGGGUGACGAGCGGCGGACGGGUGAGUAAUGUCUGGGAAACUGCCUGAUGGAGGGGGAUAACUACUGGAAACGGUAGCUAAU